UGGCAUUGUCCCCAGGAAGGUAACAGUGUCCCUGGAAGGGUGGGUGGGUCACUGGUAAGGUGGCAGCAUCCUCAGGAGGGUGGUGAUGUCUCCAGGAAGAUGGCAGUGUCCCCAGGAAGUUGGCAGUGUCCCCAGGAAGGUGGCAUUGUCCCUGGGAAGCCCCAUGAGCCUGUGCUGCUGUUCCUGCCGUUCCUGCUGUUCUGACCUUGAUGUCCCUGGGCUUUGUUGGUGUCGCGUGUCCCACCCCCCGCCCCGUGUCCCUGCAGCAGUGGGGGCUGUUGGAGAGGCACAGUCAGAGGGAUGCUUUGGGAAUGGCCAGGUGACAUCAGGGACACCGAGGGACACAGGGGCUGGGCAAGUGCGGGGUCAGGAAGCCCCCACGGGGUCUGGUGGGGCAGAGGGCUCUGUCCCUGUGUGCCCGUCCUGCCCGCAGGGGGUGGGACAGCGCGGGCAGCACUGAGCCCCGGGCACUCUGUGGGGCAGAGCACUCCCCAGGGACUGCCACCUGCCUUUGGGUGGCACCAGCAUUGCUGUGGCUCUGGAACUGCACCCUGGCACUGCACCCUGGCAUGGGUGCAGCCCUGACAUCACAACCUGGCAUUGCCCCUGGCACGGGGGCAGCUCCCCUGCCAUGUGCCCUCAGGAGCUCCUGCCCACCUGGGGUUGCUCCGCUCUCAGCAAGGGACAUGGUGACAUGGUGACAUGGUCACCCUCUGUCAUCACACAGCCUCGCCCUGCGGGUCCCCUGGGAGGGGCGGGGCAGCUGGUGUCACCACCGGCUCGGGUGGGGUGGCAUGGAGCGGGGUGACAUCCCUGGUGGUGGCACUAACACGGUGCCAGCCCCGGCGGGUGUCCUGCCCCCGAGCCCCCGCCGCAGUGUCCCCCAUCACUGUGCCCUCCCGCAGGUCUGCUCCGUUUUGAGGUCCCCUCCCUCCACGUCCCCCCGGAUGCUGCCCAGUGCCGGGACCCGCCGGAGGCAGCGCAGAGACUCUCGGGGCCGAGCCUGACCCCCCGGCAGGAGGAGGAGGAGGAGGAAUCAGAGAGCACAGCCCUAUGACAGUGUCCCUGUCCCCAAGCUCAUCCGUGCGGCACCCCGGGGCCAGCACCGGCCACCGGCACCGAGGGCCACGGGCGCGCCAGUUUUGGGUGGCAAAGCGCCCGGUUUGGGGGCGGUCGCUGUUCUUUAUUUCAUUUUUUUUCGCCUUAUCCAGACUUUGCCUUUCGACCGGGUGCCUGCACCCCCCGCCCCGCAGCACCCACCGUCCUGGGGCGACGCCACCACCUCCUCCGUGCCCCGGCGGCGGGUGCCACUGGGCACCAGCCAGGUGACAACGAGCUCGCCGGCGCUUUGCAGUGGGAUUUCGUUCCUUCGGCUUCUUCCCCCACCGCUUGUUUGCCGGAGCAGGAUGGGACCUGACCAGCAAUAACCUGGGCACGUGCAGGAUGUGGCCCCCCCCCGGGCUCUCGGGGUGCUGGCGGGUGAGGGUGCACGUCCCUUGGCACCCGCUGUCCCUGUGGGUUGGUGGCUUUGGUCGUGCAUGCACAGACAAAUUAACCUUUUAUCCUUUCCAGAGAGAGAAGAUUCUAUAUAUAUAUAUAUCGGCAGAGAUAUAUAUAUAUUAUAUAUUUGUAUAUAUAGAGAGAGAAACUAUAGAGAGAUUUGUUUUAUUUGGAGCCAUUCCCGCCCAGCCGGUGCGAGAGGGAGGAUGGAAAUGGCAGCGCUUCGCCCCCGCCCCGCUCGCGCCGUGCCCCUCGCCCCAGGUGGGCACCCGGGGGGCACCAGCACCCCGAAGCAAUCAAUAAAUCCAAUAAAUCCGUGUGCCACUCGCUGAGAA